UACACACCGCCCGUCACAUCACGAAAAGUGGGUUGUACUAGAAGUCGGUGGGCUAACCGCAAGGAAGCAGCCGCCCAAGGUAUAACUCAUGAUUGGGGUG
rnacentral:rRNA from 1 species